AACGCGAAGAACCUUACCAGCUCUUGACAUGGGGAUUAUGGGGAUCAGAGAUGAUUCCCUUCGGUUCGGCCGGGUCCCACACAGGUGCUGCAUGGCUGUCGUCAGCUCGUGUCGUGAGAUGUUGGGUUAAGUCCCGCAACGAGCGCAACCCUCAUCAUUAGUUGCCAUCAUUCAGUUGGGCCCUCUAGGGGGACUGCCGGUGAUAAGCCGAGAGGAAGGUGGGGAUGACGUCAAGUCCUCAUGGCCCUUACGGGCUGGGCUACACACGUGCUACAAUGGCGGUGACAAUGGGAUGCUGAGGGGCGACCCCGAGCAAAUCUCAAAAAGCCGUCUCAGUUCGGAUUGCACUCUGCAACUCGAGUGCAUGAAGGUGGAAUCGCUAGUAAUCGUAGAUCAGAACGCUACGGUGAAUACGUUCCCGGGCCUUGUACACACCGGUAUCUC
rnacentral:rRNA from 1 species